rnacentral:rRNA from 1 species
UACGAAGGGUGCAAACGUUGCUCGGAAUUAUUGGGCGUAAAGAGCUCGUAGGCGGUUUGUCGCGUCUGCUGUGAAAACCUAAGGCUCGACCUUGGGCUUGCAGUGGGUACGGGCAGACUAGAGUGCGGUAGGGGUGACUGGAAUUCCUGGUGAUAGCGGUGGAAUGCGCAGAUAUCAGGAGGAACACCGAUGGCGAAGGCAGGUCACUGGGCCGCAACUGACGCUGGAGGAGCGGAAA